AUACUUUUAGAGUUGGGUGUAUAUUAUUCUAUAUGUAAAAAAAAUUCUUAAUUUUAACAGAGCUCUAAAGAUUGACCUUUUUAGUGUACUUUUAUAGCAUGUAUAUUAAAAUAGAAUAUAUUUUAGCAAGAAUAAAGUUUGGCAAAGAUUGCCAUAAAACCCUGACUUUGAUCACUUUUGUAUUUGCACUCUGAAGAGGGUUUAAAUUCCAGUGUAGCAAAUGUGAUGGCAGAAAAAAUGGAAGACUACGAACUUCCUUUAUAGUAAUGGCUAAGUGUUCCAGUCUGCUGUUGGGAGAGGUACUCUGAGGGUCCUGACUGUUCAGUACAGAUGUUUCCUCAGUGCUUCUCCCCUCGUGGUGAUGGGUAUACAUUUACUGUCUGAGAAUAAAAAACUACACACACACCCCCUUUUAUUUUUACAGUAUCUCUUCAUUUGUAAUUUGGUUUGAACAAAGAAAAUGUCACCUAUCAGGGGAAAAGAAAAAGUAGAAUCAGUGUAUACCUACUGUAUAUGGCUGGAAGAUAGCUUAUGAUAUGUGUCAAUCCAUUCUCUGAACCUCUCACUCAGACAGGAAAAUAAACAAAUCACAUUUG
rnacentral:lncRNA from 1 species